UACGAAGGGGGCUAGCGUUGCUCGGAAUUACUGGGCGUAAAGCGCGCGUAGGCGGAUCGGCAAGUCCGGAGUGAAAUCCCGCCGCUCAACGGCGGGGCUGCUUUGGAAACUGCAGGUCUAGGGUGCGGUAGAGGUCGGUAGAAUUCCCGGUGUAGCGGUGGAAUGCGUAGAGAUCGGGAAGAAUACCCGUGGCGAAGGCGGCCGACUGGGCCGUCUCCGACGCUGAUGCGCGAAAGCGUGGGGAGCAAACAGG
rnacentral:rRNA from 1 species